UACGUAGGGUGCGAGCGUUGUCCGGAAUUAUUGGGCGUAAAGAGCUCGUAGGCGGUGUGUCGCGUCGGCCGUGAAAACCUGGGGCUCAACUCUGGGCGUGCGGUCGAUACGGGCAUCACUUGAGUUCGGCAGGGGAGACUGGAAUUCCUGGUGUAGCGGUGAAAUGCGCAGAUAUCAGGAGGAACACCGGUGGCGAAGGCGGGUCUCUGGGCCCGAU
rnacentral:rRNA from 1 species